AUUGAACGCUGGCGACAGGCCUAACACAUGCAAGUCGAGCGCGAAAGUCUUCGGAUGAGUAAAGCGGCGAACGGGUGAGUAAUGCAUGGGAAUCUGCCUGGUAGUGGGGGACAACGUCUCGAAAGGGACGCUAAUACCGCAUACGCCCUACGGGGGAAAGGGGGGGAUCUUCGGACCUCUCGCUAUCAGAUGAGCCCAUGUCAGAUUAGCUAGUUGGUGAGGUAAAGGCUCACCAAGGCGACGAUCUGUAACUGGUCUGAGAGGAUGAUCAGUCACACUGGAACUGAGACACGGUCCAGACUCUACGGGAGCAGCAGUGGGGAAUAUUGGACAAUGGGGGCAACCCUGAUCCAGCCAUG
rnacentral:rRNA from 1 species